rnacentral:rRNA from 1 species
GAUGAACGCUGGCGGCGUGCCUAAUACAUGCAAGUCGAGCGAACAGACGAGGAGCUUGCUCCUCUGACGUUAGCGGCGGACGGGUGAGUAACACGUGGAUAACCUACCUAUAAGACUGGGAUAACUUCGGGAAACCGGAGCUAAUACCGGAUAAUAUAUUGAACCGCAUGGUUCAAUAGUGAAAGACGGUUUUGCUGUCACUUAUAGAUGGAUCCGCGCCGCAUUAGCUAGUUGGUAAGGUAACGGCUUACCAAGGCAACGAUGCGUAGCCGACCUGAGAGGGUGGUCGGCCACACUGGAGCUGGGACACGGUCCAGACGCCUACGGGAGGCAGCAGUAGGGAAUCUUCCGCAAUGGGCGAAAGCUUGACGGAGCAACGCCGCGUGAGUGAUGAAGGUCUUCGGAUCGUAAAACUCUGUUAUUAGGGAAGAACAAAUGUGUAAGUAACUAUGCACGUCUUGACGGUACCUAAUCAGAAAGCCACGGCUAACUACGUG